rnacentral:tRNA from 1 species
AGCAAAGAAGUAAUAUUUACAAUUAAUUUCGACUUAAUUAUUAGAGUUAUCCUCCAUGCUU